CAGGAUGAACGCUAGCGGCAGGCUUAACACAUGCAAGUCGAGGGGUAGAAGUCUUCGGACUUUGAGACCGGCGCACGGGUGCGUAACGCGUAUGCAAUCUGCCUUGUACAAAGGGAUAGCCCAGAGAAAUUUGGAUUAAUACCUUAUAGUAUAUCGAUGUGGCAUCACAAUGAUAUUAAAGAUUUAUCGGUACAAGAUGAGCAUGCGUCCCAUUAGCUAGUUGGUAUGGUAACGGCAUACCAAGGCAAUGAUGGGUAGGGGUCCUGAGAGGGAGAUCCCCCACACUGGUACUGAGACACGGACCAGACUCCUACGGGAGGCAGCAGUGAGGAAUAUUGGUCAAUGGGCGCAAGCCUGAACCAGCCAUGCCGCGUGCAGGAUGACGGUCCUAUGGAUUGUAAACUGCUUUUGUACGGGAAGAAACACCUCUACGUGUAGGGGCUUGACGGUACCGUAAGAAUAAGGAUCGGCUAACUCCGUGCCAGCAGCCGCGGUAAUACGGAGGAUCCAAGCGUUAUCCGGAAUCAUUGGGUUUAAAGGGUCCGUAGGCGGUUUUAUAAGUCAGUGGUGAAAUCCGGCAGCUUAACUGUCGAACUGCCAUUGAUACUGUAGAACUUGAAUUAUUGUGAAGUAACUAGAAUAUGUAGUGUAGCGGUGAAAUGCUUAGAUAUUACAUGGAAUACCAAUUGCGAAGGCAGGUUACUAACAAUAUACUGACGCUGAUGGACGAAAGCGUGGGGAGCGAACAGGAUUAGAUACCCUGGUAGUCCACGCCGUAAACGAUGGAUACUAGCUGUUUGGUAGCAAU
rnacentral:rRNA from 1 species